UAGGGAAUUUUUCACAAUGAGCGAAAGCUUGAUGGAGCAAUGCCGCGUGAACGAUGAAGGUCUUUAAGAUUGUAAAGUUCUUUUAUUUGGGAAGAAUGACUUUAGCAGGUAAUGGCUAGAGUUUGACUGUACCAUUUUGAAUAAGUGACGACUAACUAUGUGCCAGCAGUCGCGGUAAUACAUAGGUCGCAAGCGUUAUCCGGAUUUAUUGGGCGUAAAGCAAGCGCAGGCGGAUUGAAAAGUCUGGUGUUAAAGGCAGCUGCUUAGCAGUUGUAUGCAUUGGAAACUAUUAAUCUAGAGUGUGGUAGGGAGUUUUGGAAUUUCAUGUGGAGCGGUGAAAUGCGUAGAUAUAUGAAGGAACACCAGUGGCGAAGGCGAAAACUUAGGCCAUUACUGACGCUUAGGCUUGAAAGUGUGGGGAGCAAAUAGGAUUAGAUACCCUAGUAGUCCACACCGUAAACGAUAGAUACUAGCUGUCGGGGCGAUCCCCUCGGUAGUGAAGUUAACACAUUAAGUAUCUCGCCUGGGUAGUACAUUCGCAAGAAUG
rnacentral:rRNA from 1 species